rnacentral:rRNA from 1 species
AACGAACGCUGGCGGCAUGCCUAACACAUGCAAGUCGAACGAUGCCUUCGGGCAUAGUGGCGCACGGGUGGGUAACGCGUGGGAAUCUGCCCUUGGCUUCGGAAUAACAGUUAGAAAUGACUGCUACUAUCGGAUGAUGUCUUCGGCCCAAAGAUUUAUCGGCCAGGGAUGAGCCCGCGUAGGAUUAGGUAGUUGGUGGGGUAAAGGCCUACCAAGCCGACGAUCCUUAGCUGGUCUGAGAGGAUGAUCAGCCACACUGGGACUGGGACACGGCCCAGACUCCUACGGGAGGCAGCAGUGGGGAAUAUUGGACAAUGGGGGGAACCCUGAUCCAGCAAUGCCGCGUGAGUGAUGAAGGCCUUAGGGUUGUAAAGCUCUUUUACCAGGGAUGAUAAUGACAGUACCUGGAGAAUAAGCUCCGGCUAACUCCGUGCCAGCCGCCGCCGUAAUAC